rnacentral:lncRNA from 1 species
GAACACCUCUGCAGCAGGUUUGGAGAAAGCUAAAGUGUUUAAAAUAGCAACUUAAAGAAAUAAAUGCCUAUAUGGCCACAUAAAAGCAAAAACUUGUACAGGCCAGAGAGUCUCUGGACAUCAUACAAAAUCAGAUGCAGACUUGUCUUUUAUCACGGGUGCUAUUUGAUGAAGAGAAAGCAGUCUUGGAAGACAUUGAGAAGUGGAGUGUUGUGGAG